CCUACGGGAGUCAGCAGUGGGGAAUAUUGCACAAUGGGGGAAACCCUGAUGCAGCGACGCCGCGUGAGUGAAGAAGUAUUUCGGUACGUAAAGCUCUAUCAGCAGGGAAGAAACUGACGGUACCUGACUAAGAAGCCCCGGCUAACUACGUGCCAGCAGCCGCGGUAAUACGUAGGGGGCAAGCGUUAUCCGGAUUUACUGGGUGUAAAGGGAGCGUAGACGGCAGCGCAAGUCUGGAGUGAAAUCCCAUGGCUUAACCAUGGAACUGCUUUGGAAACUGUGCAGCUAGAGUGCAGGAGAGGUAAGCGGAAGUCCUAGUGUAGCGGUGAAAUGCGUAGAUAUUAGGAGGAAAACCAGUGGCGAAGGCGGCUUACUGGACUGUAACUGACGUUGAGGCUCGAAAGCGUGGGGAGCAAACAGGAUUAGAUACCCGAGUAGUC
rnacentral:rRNA from 1 species